rnacentral:lncRNA from 1 species
UUGGCAUUUCUUCUGCAGAAAUGACAGUGUUUUGGAAUCAGAUGGAAUACUUCGAUGGAGUUUGAGGUGGUUGUCCUGUAAAGCAUCUCAGGGAAGGAAGAAGACUUGUGGCUACCUGAGAGCAAAGGGACUGAACCAGCUUGAAGGAAGCCAAGACAAUCCAGAAGGGAAAGGCUACACCCUCCUUUGGCAGUGCUCGGAUGAAAAGAUGUUCUGAAAAUGCCUCGGAUGAAAAGAAGCUGUAAAAAAAAAUAUAAUCUUUACCCUGAUAGACUGAUUACAAUCUAUUGUGCCAUGGAUUAGCGGGUGAGUAUUUAUUCAGCUUAUUUUUUUAUUCCUAUGUACAGAUGCUCUGGACCACAAUGACCCCUUUGAAGUCAUUAUUGGCGCUUGCAUCCAUGAGUAGUAUGGAGGGCACAUUAAUAAACUGUGUAUAGAAAAAGACA